AACGAACGCUGGCGGCAUGCCUAACGCAUGCAAGUCGAACGAGACCUUCGGGUCUAUUGGCGCACGGGUGCGUAACGCGUGGGAACCUUCCCUUAGGUUCGGAAUAACUCCCCGAAAGGGGUGCUAAUACCGGAUAAUGUCUUCGGACCAAAGAUUUAUCGCCUUUGGAUGGGCCCGCGUUGGAUUAGCUAGUUGGUAGGGUAAAAGCCUACCAAGGCGACGAUCCAUAGCUGGUCUGAGAGGAUGAUCAGCCACACUGGGACUGAGACACGGCCCAGACUCCUACGGGAGGCAGCAGUGGGGAAUAUUGGAAAAUGGGCGAAAGCCUGAUCCAGCAAUGCCGCGUGAGUGAUGAAGGCCUUAGGGUUGUAAAGCUCUUUUAACCGGGAUGAUAAUGACAGUACCGGGAGAAUAAGCUCCGGCUAACUCCGUG
rnacentral:rRNA from 1 species